rnacentral:rRNA from 1 species
ACUCAAAGGAAUUGACGGGGGCCCGCACAAGCAGCGGAGCGUGUGGUUUAAUUCGACGCGACGCGAAGAACCUUACCCAGGCUUGACAUGGCACUGGAGGCACCUGAAAGGGUGCCGGCCCUUCGGGGCCAGUGUCACAGGUGUUGCAUGGCUGUCGUCAGCUCGUGCCGUGAGGUGUUGGGUUAAGUCCCGCAACGAGCGCAACCCCCGUGCCUAGUUAGGCUGUCUAGGCAGACUGCCGGCACAGAGUCGGAGGAAGGCGGGGACGACGUCAAGUCAGCAUGGCCCUUACGUCUGGGGCGACACACACGCUACAAUGGCCGGCACAACGGGAGGCGAAGCCGCAAGGCGGAGCGAAACCUACACAAAGCCGGUCUCAGUUCGGAUUGGGGGCUGCAACUCGCCCCCAUGAAGGCGGAGUUGCUAGUAACCGCGGGUCAGCACACCGCGGUGAAUAUGUUCCCGGGCCUUGUACACACCGCCCGU